GAUGAACGCUGGCGGCGUGCCUAAUACAUGCAAGUCGAGCGAAUGGAUUAAGAGCUUGCUCUUAUGAAGUUAGCGGCGGACGGGUGAGUAACACGUGGGUAACCUGCCCAUAAGACUGGGAUAACUCCGGGAAACCGGGGCUAAUACCGGAUGACAUUUUGAACCGCAUGGUUCGAAAUUGAAAGGCGGCUUCCGCUGUCACUUAUGGAUGGGCCCGCGUCGCAUUAGCUAGUUGGUGAGGUAACGGCUCACCAAGGCAACGAUGCGUAGCCGACCUGAGAGGGUGAUCGGCCACACUGGGACUGAGACACGGCCCAGACUCCUACGGGAGGCAGCAGUAGGGAAUCUUCCGCAAUGGACGAAAGUCUGACGGAGCAACGCCGCGUGAGUGAUGAAGGCUUUCGGGUCGUAAAACUCUGUUGUUAGGGAAGAACAAGUGCUAGUUGAAUAAGCUGGCACCUUGACGGUACCUAACCAGAAAGCCACGGCUAACUACGUGCCAGCAGCCGCGGUAA
rnacentral:rRNA from 1 species